UACGAAGGGGGCUAGCGUUGUUCGGAAUUACUGGGCGUAAAGCGAACGUAGGCGGUGUUCCAUGUCAGAGGUGAAAGCCUGGGGCUCAACUCCAGAAUUGCCUUUGAAACGGGAACGCUUGAGUCCGAGAGAGGGUGGCGGAAUUCCUAGUGUAGAGGUGAAAUUCGUAGAUAUUAGGAAGAACACCAGUGGCGAAGGCGGCCACCUGGCUCGGUACUGACGCUCAGGUUCGAAAGCGUGGGGAGCAAACAGG
rnacentral:rRNA from 1 species